GUUUGCUCGGCUGGGUGCUGACUGAGGCUGGCUCUCUCUCGCUGAGGGCUCAUACGAGCCGGGAGUCCAGCUACUGCCCGCCGCCCUGAUGCCUCUCGGUGCCUGCGGGAGCGGAGAGGGGGUGGCCCGCCGGCGGAGCCUCACGCCCCGGGGGCUGUGGCGGGGCUGUGCCGGGGGGACGCGCCAGCUUCCUGCUGCUCGCCGGUGAACCUCUCGCCUAGAUAGCUUUCAGGAACCUCCAUUUAGACAAGGAUCGAUUGGCUUGGAACUCGAUUACGCGCCCCUUACGGAAAUGAAGAUCAGAAGAAGGGGCCGGACUCGAACUGUGUUCAACUGCUUUGGAGAACAUGGAUCAGCAAAUGCCAAACAGUUUCUUGGAUACCAACUGCACUUUUUUUUCUUGGCAGAUAAGUAUUUAGUGACAGCCAGAGCAGAGCAGGGCCAUCUUUCUGUCCCAGACGCGUUUCUUUUCAAGGUGUCAGGCAGGCGGUAGCAAAUUCUUGAGAGGAGUUGAGCAGAAGAUGAGGGCAGAUCAGAGCUGUUCCCGCACCGAAAAAUCCGCUUCACUUUCGGCUGGUGCUCGUGGUUAAGGUGUCUGUUUUUCCAGCUUGUCACAGGAUGAACAUUACAAGUCGCCGAGUCCCGGGAAGUGUGGGUGCUCCUGGAAAUGACGAAUUGUUUGACGUGAGAAAGAAAGAGAGAGAGAGAGGGGGGAAAAAGUGCAGCCCACAUCUGAAAACUAGGAGCAGCAUCAGCUGCAAUCACAGCUUCCCAAAGAAAUGCAAACCUCCCACUGAAAAGCCUGUGACAGCAUCCUAAAAAUUUAAUUGUAAAAUUCCCUAAGGAAUUUAUCCAGAUCCAAAAGUAAAAAUGAGCAGAACUAGACCUGCAAUGAGCACCAUAUUGAUUCUCAUCAAUGUUAGUGAUAAAAAUAUUUAUUGUGAUAGUUGUCUCCACUGUCAGCAAUUAACCUUUGCAGUACUCCUAUCACCUGCUGUUGAAUUAUCAACCUACAGCUUACAAUUUGUACACUUGAUGCCGUAGAAGGUUAGUUGCUUUAUUUAUACAUAAAAUGCAACUAAUAUUCAAGUUAACACAUGAUUUCUCAAUCAUUUAGAGUAGAAAAGAACCAUUAUAUAAUCACAAUUAAUUGCAACACAGCUUUAGUGAGUAGUAGUCAUGCCACAGAGUGUACAAGGUGCAAAUACCAACCCUUUACACUGAUUGUCACCAUUAUCGAUGCCAUGAAUGUGCCCCAAAGUGAUAGAAAACUAUAAUGUGGGACACGAACCACAACAAACUGCAUUUACGCAACAGCAUUAUCAUUGUGAAACAGCCCAUGAUGUCUCACAGAAGUGUAACCGGACCAGAAAUUGAUAUUAGGAGAGGGAGUCAAAUACUUUGUCAAAGACAUUUGUUUAGAAAACUGUCUUAAAAGAAGAGCAAGGCAGAGGGUUGGAAACAGUUAUGGAACACAGGAAGCAGUAGUGAUUCCAUGUCCUUCGCUGCUUCACAGAUAUGCUGGGAUUCAUAUACUAUUGCAAACAUUCAAAUCAAAUGAUUAUUUAAAUCUUAGUAAAAUUAUCACUUCCAUCAUGUAAACUGGAUAAAUUGUGAGCAAGAGUAUGAUACCAUUUUCUCAUACCAGCGAGUAAAAGAGUAAAAUAAUUAAGAAGCUUAUUUUGUAAGUAUUUCUAUUUGCAAUCCUGUGUAUUUCUAUCAUAGUGUAUUUAUUUUCAGAAAUUGAGACACCCACAUAGAUUGCCUACAAGCAUCAUAAAGAAUAUAUCUAUCUCUAGCAUGUAAAAUCAUGAAAAUCUGUGUGUGUUAAGCAGAAGGUUUGUGGGAACAGAUCCAGGAGAGUUUGCACUUGUCUCCAUGAAUAAGCUGUAUUUCUUCUAAUUUCCCGGUUAGUUAAGGCUUGACAUAUAUAUAAUGACACCAAGCCCUUUCUAUUCUAUCUUGGAAGGCACAGACUGCAAAUUGUCAUUUGGGAUAUUCUUCAUAAGAUACACUUCACAAUCUAGAACUUAGUUAAGAGCGGUAUUUUAGAAAUUAUUGUGUGCUAAGAAUUAGUUCUGCAGCUUUCUCCACACACACAGCUCCAAAACAAAAUGAACAAUUUCCGCAAUGUCACCUUUUCUCAAAAUGAACACAUUUGACAUUUUUAGCAAAAUUUGACACUUAAUUUUUAGCAUGCAAGAAAGCCUUAACAUUAAAAUUGUGUCAUUAUUUCUCAAACUAAAAAUAACAUGGAUAUUGCAUCAAGUAAUGUACAAUUAACAGGAGAAUCAAGAACUCUGCUAUAUCUUUUCAUAAAUGAACAUAGAUUCAAUCAUUUGUAUUGAUAUUAUUAACUACUGAGUUAUUAUUUUGUGACGUUAUGCCAUUGUAUAAGCGACAUUUAUUAUCAUAGUACAAUCAACACACAAUAUGCAAAUAGCUUACAUUUGUUUAGCUUUAUAAAGUUAGUUCUGCAUAUAAUAUAUGAAACAUAAUAAAUGUUUUGGUGCAAGAUGCACAAAUGUGUCAGUACUCCUUAGUGUGCAAAAGGAUAUCUGAACUCUUUUGGAAACAAUGAUUAUUCUUCAUUAACUUAACUAAUUUUGUUUGCAGUGAACUUAUCAUUGUAAAGGUGAUUGAAUAAAGGUACUUUUACAUUAUUGCAGUAAAUAACAAUUAUAUAGUUUCAUUCUCAGACAUUUAGAUCCAAUAUUAUGCCAUAUGAAUAAGAAUAUGAAUCAAUGAGUUUUAUUCAAAAUUUGGUGAGUUGCGUGAUAGAUUUUUCUUGUUUUGUGAUUGAUGUUAUUGCAGAUCUUGCAGGCAAUGAUGUUGGAGAGGAUUAUUGGUGGUUCAUUGGUUGAUACGGGAAAUGUCAAUAAGCUAGAAUAUAUAUGUAAUAUGCAACAGAACAAUCACAAUAUUUUCUAAUUUUUUGGAUAUUAUUUGUGUCCAUAUUCUGUACAGCAACUAUGCAAUUAUGGUUGGUUAAAAUAUAGUUUCUUCUUUUGUCUCAUAGUUGUCUUGACAUAGUGAAAUGCUUGUUGCUUAGCCCUUUCAUGUAUUGAUCUGAAAGUUCUGGUAUCUGGUUAGCAUUUCUUUUAAUUUUCAUUCUUGGUUAGCAAUGCUGAUGUAAGGCGCUGUAGACUGCUUUUGAAUAUAAAACAAUUAAUAGAUUUCCUUAAUUUCCAGGAUAUAAACUGUUGUGCAGAGUGCUGAUGAUAGUUUGAUAGGGCUACUUUGGUAAGAAAACAGAUUGCUAAGCGCAUGAAGAAAUCUAUACCAUCAAGAAUCAGUGUAUUCAACCAAAUUUGGUAUUGUAGAUUUCGACCAGUCAAAGUGCUGUAUUCCAAAUAGUAUGAUUAAUUAGGAAUUAUCAACCUCAAAUGAUUUGCAUUUGUGUCCAAUAUUGGAACUUGGCUGUAUGGAAAUGCAAUAUUUCACAUGUUGCAUCUACAAUUUAAGGAGGGUCGAAGGACCAAAAUCAAAUAUACACCUCCCCACCCCUCCAACAUGGUUCAUGUUGGUGGAUUAUGCACUUUCAAUAAUGAUUAAAAAUAAGUUGUUCAAACUACUGCCUAAAAUGAACAGUCUGAAUAAUUAUAUAAUGUUAAUUCAAAUGAGGUCAUGGUGUAUAUGAAUAAACCACCCAAGAUGAGUUAAAUCUAGGUAUGGGCCAUUUUACUUGAGUUUUGAUGUGAACUAAAUGGUAUGGACAAAGGCAGGAGGAGUGAGAGGAAAAACAAAUAUUGUCUUUACAAUCGUUGUUCACUAGUGAGAAAACAGUUCCAUCUUUCAGGUGCUGCACUCGAUUGCCUUGUGAACAUAGUAAAGAACACUGUCUCAGAGGACAGGCAGAAUAGAAUGCUGCCACCAGAGAUUCAAAUUUGGCUGCUGUUGUGCUUUGUUUGCUGCUGGAUCAUUUCAGUUCCAAGUAGGUGACAUCGUUGGCUUCAGGCUGUAAUCAUUUACUUACUUGACAAUAAUGGUAUUUGAUGUUUUGGCUGAAGAGUAUCACAAAUUUCAACAUUUUUUUUGCUGAUGAGAUGUUUUGUCAUAGAAUAAUGCAAAGUCUUUAUAAAAUGGCUGAGAUAUCUAGUGCCCACACUACCAUUGAUUGUAUUUAUGA